rnacentral:rRNA from 1 species
UACGUAGGUGCAAGCGUUGUCCGGAAUUAUUGGGCGUAAAGCGCUCGUAGGCGGUUCGGUAAGUCGGGUGUGAAACCUCCAGGCUCAACCUGGUGACGCCACCCGAUACUGCCGUGACUUGAGUUCGGUAGGGGAGCGGGGAAUUCCUGGUGUAGCGGUGAAAUGCGCAGAUAUCAGGAGGAACACCGGUGGCGAAGGCGCCGCUCUGGGCCGAAACUGACGCUGAGGAGCGAAAGCGUGGGGAGCGAACAGG